rnacentral:rRNA from 1 species
UGCAACCUGAGCUCAGGCGUGAUUACCCGCCGAACUUAAGCAUA